ACAUGUUAAACAUACUUAGGGCAUGUUUGGUUCAACAGAAUGGCCAUUCCAUUCCGUCCCUAUUUCACGCGCUACAAUGACACUUUUGUUUGGUUGAAAUUUGAUCGCCGAAUCACUAUUUCUUGCAGGCUGUAUUACGCGUAAACACUGUAUAUCCAUUCAGAGGGUCGAGCUCUGAAUGCCUAUUCAAUACCUUUCGUAAUAGCUUUUUUUUUAUUUCAGACGAAAAUCUCCUCCCACUUCCACUCAUCAUUCAAAUGAAAAUUUUCUUGGGUUUUCCAUAAAAUGCAUAGAAGACUCUCUGUUUUUGGAUUUUGGGUGUGGCAGAUUUGUGUGUGGUGGAAAAUAUGAAGAAAUCAAUGUCGAAAGCAGAGCUUUCCAAAGAAAUGUGCACGUCUCCCACAGUAUAGCCCAGCGAUUAUGGGAACGGCGAGGCUCCGAUCAAUUGUCAGUGAUUGUUGCUAUGUUUCGUUUUUGCUAGUGUUAAGGGAGUUUUUGGGGCUAACCAUUCACGGGUAUCACGGGAAUGGAGAUUAAAUGUGGUGUUGCUGAAAUCCAGAAGGACAGAAACACUCCUUUUGUGUCAAAGGUUCAUCAACUUCCCAAUGAAAAAGAGGCAGUUUAUGGAGCAUUGGACAAAUGGGUAGCUUGGGAGACUGAGUUUCCAUUCAUUGAUUGCAGCUGCAAAAGCUUUACAAAUUUUCAAGAAGAGGAGCCAAUGGUUGCGUGUUAUUCAAGUAUUUCCAGUCUAUUCGUAUUCUUGCUUUGUAUUUUCCAGCUUCUAAAAUAGAUUCAUUAAUGCAAAAAAGCUUUAUAUGUUCAAUGAUUUUCAUUUAAUAUAUAUUAUAUUAAAAUAGCCUUGUAUUAUCAUAUUUGAUUCUAUAAAAUACUCUCGGUCAAUAUUUUAAAGGAA